AUAUUCAAAGUCCGUUAGUAAGAGUUUACGGUGGGUGGGUAAGCAGGAGGGGAUCCCUGUGGUUAGACUAACUGGCCGAGAAGGUUAGCGAGGUUCCUGCUAUGGUGAAGUGAAAGAUCUUUCACUAUAGUGGGAAGAAGACAGGUGGGAACGAGCGGAGCGAGUGAGAAGGUUAGCGAGGUUCUUGCUAUGGUGAAGUGAAAGAUCUUUCACUACAGUGGGAAGAAGACAGGUGGGAACGAGCGGAGCGAGAGAGAAGCAAGUUCCAGUGGUGGGCUGUCUUCCUGGUCCCAUU
rnacentral:lncRNA from 1 species